rnacentral:tRNA from 1 species
ACGGAUAUGACGGAAUUGGUAAACGUGCCAGGUUUAGGUCCUGGUGAGCUCUUGUUCAUGGGGGUUCGAGUCCCCCUAUCCGUA